AGGGUUGAUUUAUAUGUUUACUUAACAGUCUUGGUUGAUUGUUACAGUAACAGCCUCCCUACCCCCCUUGAAUCUCUAUCCCUGUAUCCUUACCUAUGCAUAAUCCCUCCCACAUUGAUUCAGUGACUUGCUUUGGCCAAGAUUUGUUAUAAUUUGGCCAAUGAGACAUUAGCAAGUGUGACGCAGCGGCUUGAAAAACUCCUGUGCACUGGGGCUUGCUCUAUUUUGCUGCUUGCUGGGAAUCCUUCUGCUAACACAAGAAGUCUGGAAUAACCCCAUGGAGACAGGUGACUCAGCUGACAGCCAGCACCAACUGCUAGACACGUGAGGGAGGGCAUCCUGGAUUGUCCGGACCCAGAAGAGCUGCCAGAUGGCUGUCACUGCCAGAGUGACUCUAGGAUUUUCUCAUUGUCUUUGGUGUCAAGAAGUUUCACUACAACGUGGCUAGGAGCUGUUAGGCACCUACUAUAUAUUAGGUGUUGAGCUUACAACCAUGAACAACAGCCAGUCAAGACAGACAAGAAUUUAUAUAUUACCCAACCAGAGAGAGAGGGUAACCCAAACAUUACUGCCCAGGAUUAUAACUGGAGCCAGACUCUGUCCCACUGAAGGGGCAGGACCUGCUGCAGCUCUCAGGAGCUCCAAAGGAGCUCCCAUUCAUCUCACAGGAUUUGUGGUCACUUUGUGGUAGGUAACAGAGCCUCCUUCCCACCUCCCUUCGCU